CCUAAUGCUGACUGAAGGAAAAGUUCAGUUUAGGGUUUAAAACCCCUAAUGCUGACUGAAAGGAAAGAGUUCAGUUUAGGGUUUAAAACCCUAAUGCUGACUAAAGGAAAAAGUUCAGUUUAGGGUUUAAAACCCUAAUGCUGACUAAAGGAAAAAGUUCAGUUUAGGGUUUAAAACCCUAAUGCUGACUGAAUGGAAAAGUUCAGUUUAGGGUUUAAAACCCUAAUGCUGACUGGCUGGGGACAAAGUUCGAGAAUACUAACUGACCUUUUUUUUUGGAUUUUCUUGUU
rnacentral:lncRNA from 1 species